rnacentral:rRNA from 1 species
AUUGAACGCUGGCGGUAGGCCUAACACAUGCAAGUCGAACGCGAAAGUCCUUCGGGAUGAGUAGAGUGGCGGACGGGUGAGUAACGCGUAGGAAUCUGUCCUGUAGUGGGGGAUAACGUUUCGAAAGGAACGCUAAUACCGCAUACGCCCUACGGGGGAAAGCGGGGGAUCUUCGGACCUCGUGCUAUAGGAGGAGCCUGCGUCGGAUUAGCUAGUUGGCGAGGUAAAGGCUCACCAAGGCGACGAUCCGUAGCUGGUCUGAGAGGAUGAUCAGCCAAACCGGAACUGAGACACGGUCCUGACUCCUACGGGAGGCAGCAGUGGGGAAUAUUGCGCAAUGGGCGAAAGCCUGACGCAGCCAUACCGCGUGUGUGAAGAAGGCCUUCGGGUUGUAAAGCACUUUCAGUGGGGAGGAAAAGCCGGUGGCUAAUAUCCAUCGGCCGUGACGCUACCCACAGAAGAAGCACCGGCUAAUUCCGUGCCAGCCGCCGCGGUAAAAC